rnacentral:rRNA from 1 species
CCUACGGGCGACAGCAGUGAGGAAUAUUGGUCAAUGGACGUAAGCCUGAACCAGCCAAGUCGCGUGAGGGAUGAAGGUUCUAUGGAUCGUAAACCUCUUUUAUAAGGGAAUAAAGUGCGGGACGUGUCCCGUUUUGUAUGUACCUUAUGAAUAAGGAUCGGCUAACUCCGUGCCAGCAGCCGCGGUAAUAAGGAUGAUCCGAGCGUUAUCCGGAUUUAUGGGGUUUAAAGGGUGCGUAGGCGGCCUUUUAAGUCAGCGGUGAAAGUCUGUGGCUCAACCAUAGAAUUGCCGUUGAAACUGGGAGGAUUGAGUAUGUUUGAGGCAGGCGGAAUGCGUGGUGUAGCGGUGAAAUGCUUAGAUAUCACGCAGAACCCCGAUUGCGAAGGCAGCCUGCCAAGCCAUGACUGACGCUGAUGCACGAAAGCGUGGGGAUCAAACAGGAUUAGAUACCCCGGUAGUC